GGGGGUAUAGCUUAGUGGUAGAGUGCAUGCUUAGCAUGCACAAGGUCCUGGGUUCAAUCCCCAGUCCCUCUA
rnacentral:tRNA from 1 species